CUUGGAACACAAGAAAUCAACAAAAGUUGAAUUCUGAAUAUGUAAAUCGAUUGGGAAAUCGAUUUCAUAACAAGGGUGUAAGGAAAUCUUAAGUGUUUGUGAAUGUGCAAUCGAUUAGGCAAUCGAUUAGAUCAAUUAAAAAUGAAAAAUGCACAAGUCAGUAGCCUCUGAUUUGGAGAAAAUCGAUUGGUAAAUCGAUUGAACAUUUCACAAAUCAAACCUGAUGGUAACACAUCGAUUGGUAAAUCGAUUGGAUGAGUCACAGUGGCACUCCAGUGCUGAGGGAAUCGAUUGGCAAAUCGAUUGACAAAGUAUCAUUUGAAAAAUGACCUCACCUGUGACAAAUACAAUCGAUUGGACAAUCAAUUGUUAACACUUUCUUUUUGAUUAAGUUUGGUUGCAAUCGAUAUUGUUAACACUUUCAUUUUGAUAAAGUUUGGUUGCAAUCGAUUGGGAAAUCGAUUGAACUAAACACCAGGUAAAAACUUUUCAGGAACAUGCUAUUAAAUCGAUUGGCAAGUCGAUUGAUGUCAAAUAGCUGAGUCUCUGUUUUGAAACCAAUCGAUUGGCAAAUCGAUUGAUAUUAAAAACUGAAUCACUAUUUUGAAUCACAUCGAUUGACAAGUCGAUUGAUAUCAAAUAGCUGAGCCACUGUUUUGAAAACAAUCGAUUGGCAAAUCGAUUGAAAUAAACUUGUUGAAAACACAGUGAACUCUAAAGUUUGGCAAAUCGAUUGAGUAAUCGAUUGAAAAUAGUUUUAUUAAAACAGUUUCCCAGAAAUCGAUUAGGCAAUCGAUUUAUACAGGUCUGGACAUGUUCUACUGAAAAGUGUUGUUUUAAAGAAUCGAUUGGUAAAUCGAUUAGCUUGUAUAGUUUCAAGAUUAAAGAAAACCAAGAUCGCGAUAAUCGAUUGGCAAAUCGAUUUAGCUCAUUUUAUAACUUUACAAAAUCGAUUGGGAAAUCGAUUUCGUAGUUGGUUUUUCAGAAACUAUAUAAGAUGUCUUUCAAUCUUUAUUCUAAUAACUUUUUCAUAACAAUUCAUAACUUUCAUAAUUUCUCAUAAUGCUCUCAACUGUUCAUAACAACAAACUAACAACUUCAUAAUUGUGAUUACAGAUUACAAUACAGUUUGUUGACAAUCCAAGAGAAAUGAUAAUGUGCUCAUGAACAUUCCUUGAAUAUCCAGAUUCGUGAGGAGCAACAUUCAUAAAGAUUGAAGACCCUUUUGUUUUACUUCUUUUAUUCAUUCUGUAAUAAAUCUUUGAACCAAAACGAACGCUAGAAAUCCAGCUAGAAACUGGUGGCUACUUUCUGGGGUGAGAGGGCUCAACAAGAAAGAGUCGUACUUUGAUUUUGUGUUAGGCUGCCGAUUGUCUACAAGGAUCAAAGGGUUGAUAGAAAGCCAGCUAGAAACUGGUGGCUACUUUCUUGGGUGAAGAGUGUUCAACAAGAAAGAGUCGCACUGUGAUUCUGUGAUAGGUUGACGAGUAUCUACAAGGAUCAGAGGGUAUUCAAUAGG
rnacentral:lncRNA from 1 species